rnacentral:rRNA from 1 species
GUCCUUCGGGACCUUGAGAGCGGCGCACGGGUGCGGAACACGUGUGCAACCUGCCUUUAUCUGGGGGAUAGCCUUUCGAAAGGAAGAUUAAUACCCCAUAAUAUAUCAGAUGGCAUCAUUUGAUAUUGAAAACUCCGGUGGAUAGAGAUGGGCACGCGCAAGAUUAGAUAGUUGGUAGGGUAACGGCCUACCAAGUCGAUGAUCUUUAGGGGGCCUGAGAGGGUGAUCCCCCACACUGGUACUGAGACACGGACCAGACUCCUACGGGAGGCAGCAGUGAGGAAUAUUGGACAAUGGGUGAGAGCCUGAUCCAGCCAUCCCGCGUGAAGGACGACGGCCCUAUGGGUUGUAAACUUCUUUUGUACAGGGAUAAACCUUUCCACGUGUGGAAAGCUGAAGGUACUGUACGAAUAAGCACCGGCUAACUCCGUGCCAGCAGCCGCGGUAAUACGGAGGGUGCAAGCGUUAUCCGGAUAUAUUGGGUUUAAAGGGUCCGUAGGCGGGCCUGUAAGUCAGUGGUGAAAUCUCAUAGCUCAACUAUGAAACUGCCAUUGAUACUGCAGGCCUUGAGUAGAUUUGAAGUGGCUGGAAUAAGUAGUGUAGCGGUGAAAUGCAUAGAUAUUACUUAGAACACCAAUUGCGAAGGCAG